GACGAACGCUGGCGGCGUGCUUAACACAUGCAAGUCGAACGGAAAGGCCCUGCUUGCAGGGUACUCGAGUGGCGAACGGGUGAGUAACACGUGGGUGAUCUGCCCUGCACUUCGGGAUAAGCCUGGGAAACUGGGUCUAAUACCGGAUAGGGGCCAUUUUUAGUGUGAUGGUUGGAAAGUUUUUUCGGUGUAGGAUGAGCUCGCGGCCUAUCAGCUUGUUGGUGGGGUAAUGGCCUACCAAGGCGGCGACGGGUAGCCGGCCUGAGAGGGUGGACGGCCACAUUGGGACUGAGAUACGGCCCAGACUCCUACGGGAGGCAGCAGUGGGGAAUAUUGCACAAUGGGCGCAAGCCUGAUGCAGCGACGCCGCGUGGGGGAUGACGGCCUUCGGGUUGUAAACUCCUUUCGCUAGGGACGAAGCUUUUGUGACGGUACCUAGAUAAGAAGCACCGGCUAACUACGUG
rnacentral:rRNA from 1 species